AGCAGAAGCUUAAGGAAAGGCCACCCAAAAACCACAUUACAAUGAGAUCCAUUUUGUAAGCAAACACCAAACUCAGAUGAUAUUGUUGAUGUCACAAUGUGCUUACAGAGAGGAACCUGGUAUGGCUGUUCUCUGAGAGUCUCUGCCAGCACCUGACCAAUACAUAUGCAGAUACUCACACCCAACCAUUGGACUGAGCCUUGGGACCCCAGUGGAGGAGCUAGGGGAAGGGUUGAAUGAGCUGAUGGGAUUACAACCCCCACGGGAAGAACAACAAUAUCAAUGAACCAAAUCCUACAGAGUUCCCAAGGACUAAACAAUCAACCAAAGAGUAUACAGAAGUCAGUCCUUGGCUCCUGCAACAUAUGUAGCAGAGGACCCCCUCAUCUCACAUCAGUGGGAGGGGAGGCGCUUGAUCUUUUGGAGACUGGAUGCCCGAGAGAAGGAGGAUGCUAGAGGGGCUCUACCUCAACAAUAAAAUCGCCAGUUCCCCAUUGGAGAAAUAUGGAUAAACCCUAACGAGAAAGCCAAGGAGCAGAGAUAAUGCAUGUGAUUUAGCUGCUGGGAGCUGCUCAGAUCAUGAAAACAUUCAAAAGGUGGGGAAGAGAGAAGACCGCCCAGGAGUGCAGACAUCCUGAGACCACAGGACAGCUGCCACCUCUGCACACCACAGCUCACAUCCCUGGUCCAAGGGGAAACUGCACAGUGCCUCUGGACACAGGUAUACAGGAACAGACAGUCACCAGAACCCGAGAUUCUGGUCUGUACACAAGACAGAACUGAAUUGGCCAGACACCUACCUGCACCCAAACUCUGUGGGGUAGAGAGCUGGACCCUCAGAAGGGUGGAUACUCUUGAGAAGUCAAAGGAGAUUAUCCUCUGCCCACAGUCCAGACCCAAAAGGGAAUCACAUACUGACAACUGUGCCACUGGGUGCAAGGACCUACACGAGCAAUCAGGGGCAGGACCCUUUCAUUCCUGCCCAUGCCUAGAGCUGGAAGACAGUCUCCAGGAGCGCCGACACACCUGAAAUCAGAACUCCUGUUCUCAGGAAAGGCUGAAAGAAAAUAGAAAAACAGUUCUACAGGAGUGCUGACCUACAGCGGGUCAUGUCACUCUCAGAAACAGGAAGACAAGCAAACGCCAGAGACAACCUAAGGGCUAGAGGCAAGCGCAGGAACCUAAGCAACAGAAAUUAAGACGACUUGGCAUCAUCAGAGGCCAGUUCUCCCACCAAAGAAUAUACUGUAUAUCCAAACACACCAGAAAAGCAAGAUUUAGAUUUGAAAUCACAUUGUUUGAUAAUGAUUGAGGAGUUUAAGGAAGGCAUAAAGAACUCCCUUAGAAAAACGCAGGAAAACAUAAAUAAACAAGUAGAAGCCUAUAGAGAAGAAUCACAAAAAUCCCUGAAAGAAUUCCAGGAAAACACAAACAGGUGAAGGAAUUAAAAAUGGAAAUAGAAGCAAUAAAGAAAGUACAAAGGGGGGCUGGGGAUUUAGCUCCGUGGUAGAGCGCUUACCUAGGAAGCACAAGGCCCUGGGUUCGGUCCCCAGCUCCGAAAAAAAAGACCCCCCCAAAAAAAAGCACAAAGGGAGACAACCCUGGAUAUAGAAAACCAAGGAAGAGACAAGGAGCCGUGGAUACAAGCAUCACCCUCAGAAUACAAGAGAUAGAAGAGAGAAUCUCAGGGGCAGAAGAUACCACAGGAAACAUCAACACGGGUUGGGGAUUUAGCUCAGUGGUAGAGCGCUUGCCUAGGAAGCACAAGGCCCUGGGUUCGGUCCCCAGCUCCGAAAAAAAGAACCAAAAAAAAAAAAGAAAAGAAAAGAAAACAUCAACACAACUGUCAAAGAUACCAUAAAUGCAAAAAGCUCCUAACCCAAAACAUACAGGAAAUGCAGGACUCAAUGAGAAAACCAAACCUAAGAAUAAUAAGUAUAGAAGAAAGUGAAGACUCCCAACUUAAAGGGCCAGUAAAUAUCAACAAGAUUAUAGAAGAAAACUUCCCUAACCUAAAGAAAGAGAUGCCCAUAAACAUACAAAAGCCUACAGAACUCCAAAUAGAUUGGACCAGAAGAGAAACUCCUUCCGUCACAUAAAACUUAAAACACCAAAUGCACAAAACAAAGAAAGAAUAUUAAAAGCAGUAAGGGAAAAAGGUCAAGUGGCAUAUAAAGACAGACCUAUCAUAAUUACACCAGACUUAUCACCAGAGUCUAUGAAAGCCAGAAGGUCCUGAACAGAUGUCAUAUGGACCCUAUGAGAACACAAAUGCCAGCUCAAAUUACUGAGUCCAGCAAAACUCUCAAUUAACGUAGAUGGAGAAACCAAGAUAUUACAUGACUAAAACAAAUUUACACAAUAUCUUUCUACAGAUCCAGGCCUACAAAAGAUAAUAGACGGAAAACUCCAACAAAGGGAGAGAAAAUACAUCGUGCAGAAAGCAAGAAUAUCAUUUCCUUGCAACGAAACCAAAAGAGAGACAUAUUAACAAUUCCCCCUCUAACAACGGAAAUAACAGGAAAUGACAAUCACUAUUCCUUAAUAUCUCUCAACAUCAGUGGACUCAAUUCCACAAUAGAAAGAAAUAGACUAACAUAAUGGAUAUGUAAAGAGGACCCAGCAUUUUGCUGCAUGCAGGAAACAUACCUCAGACACAAAGACAGACACUACCUCAGAAUAAAUGACUGGAAAACAACUUUCCAAGCAAAUGGCCCAAAGAAACCAGCUGGAGUUGCCAUUAUAAUAUCAAAUAAAAUUGACUUUCAAACAAAAUUCAUUAAAAAAGAUAAGGAAGGACACUUUAUAUUCAUUUAAGGAAAAAUACACCAAGAUGAACUCUUAAUCCUAAAUAUCUAUGCUCCAAAUGCAAGACCACCUACAUUCAUAAAAGAAACCUUACUAAAGCUCAAAGCACAUUUUGUAUCUCAUAUGAUAAAAGUAGGAGAUUUCACCACCCCACUCUCAGCAAU